UUUCCACCAAGUCAGAAUUGGAAGGUCCAUUGGAGUAUCAAGAGGAGAUCCUAGUACAUCUUAUCCGUGAGCAAGAGGGGUCCAAUAGAACCUUAUUGGGCCAUGAGAUGAGGACAGCAAAGGAAACAAAAGAAUCCUACUACAACUUGGAAACAACAUGGUGGCUACCUUUUCCUUUUGUUUCUAGGAUUAAAGGGCUGCAUGGAAGGCUAUAAAUAAGCCUUCAAUCAGUUCUGUACUAUUUUAGUUCAUUCUCUUCUUCUCAUGGCAGAACAUGGAUUUAAUAUUAGGGGCUUUAUUUUAUUUUGUUAGCU
rnacentral:lncRNA from 1 species